rnacentral:rRNA from 1 species
CCUACGGGUGGCAGCAGUGAGGAAUAUUGGUCAAUGGGCGCGAGCCUGAACCAGCCAAGUAGCGUGAGGGAUGACUGCCCUACGGGUUGUAAACUUCUUUUAUAAAGGAGUAAAGUGCGGCACGUGUGCCGUUUUGUAUGUACUUUAUGAAUAAGGAUCGGCUAACUCCGUGCCAGCAGCCGCGGUAAUACGGAGGAUCCGAGCGUUAUCCGGAUUUAUUGGGUUUAAAGGGUGCGAGGGGGGUUGUUAAAGUCAGUGGUAAAGUUUGGGGGCUAAACGUAAAAGUGCAAUUGAUACUGGGAGUCUUGAGUACAGGUGAGGUAGGCGGAAUUCGUGGUGUAGCGGUGAAAUGCUUAGAUAUCACGAAGAACUCCGAUUGCGAAGGCAGCUUACUAAACUGCCACUGACAUUGAUGCUCGAAAGUGUGGGUAUCAAACAGGAUUAGAUACCCCGGUAGUC